rnacentral:pre_miRNA from 1 species
AUUACUGUGUCGAGGAUUGGUAACUCCACCACCGUUGGCGGAAUCUAAUAGCCAAUGGGGUACGAGUUUCCUUCUCUCGGCGCGAAAUG